AUGGUGGUCACGGAGUAUAUUUCCAAAGGAGAUCUAAGUACCAUCCUUCACAAGGAUAGCAUUCCCAUCACUUUGGAUACACGGCUAAGAAUUGCCAUUGAAUGUGCAGAAGCAUUGGCCUAUAUGCAUUCACAAAUGUAUACUCAGGUCAUUCACGGUGAUAUCAAGCCUGCUAAUAUACUUCUGGAUGAUGGACUCAGAGCAAAAAUAUCAGACUUUGGAAUAUCAAGACUAGUCAACACUGAAAAUACUCUCUAUACUGUAAAUAAUAUAGGAAGUAUCGGCUACAUGGACCCUCUGUUUGCUCAGAAUGGUCGCCUCACAGCAAAGAGUGAUGUUUAUAGUUUUGGAAUUGUACUCCUGGAACUGAUCACUAGAAAGGAAGCAAAAACAGAGGGUGGAGAGAUUGGCUUGGUUGAAAGUUUUCUUCGGUCUCUUUCAAAAGGGGUUAGGAGGGCGAGGGAGAUGUUUGAUCCUGAAAUCACAACAUCAAGUGAUAUGAAGACUAUUGAAGGGAUUGCUAAGUUGGCAGGUAAAUGCUUGAAGAUGGAGCUUGACAAACGUCCUGAGAUGUUAGAAGUUGCAGAGCGUCUUCACAAACUUAGAAAAGCUCCUCGUCAGGUACAAGGAAAACUUGCUCUGUUUUCUUGGGGAAAGAGAAAUAAAUUAGCGCCAGCUGAAACACCACCAAUUGAAAGCAGCAGCAGUACCCGAAACGUGGUAACUUAUAUUGAUAGGUUGACACCGAGAGGCCACCCCGCAAAAAAAAAAGAAGACACCGAGAGGCCAAUCGUUCGAGCUGGAUGA
rnacentral:rRNA from 1 species